rnacentral:misc_RNA from 1 species
GAUGAAGAACGUAGUGAAAUGCGAUACGUAAUGUGAAUUGCAGAAUUCAGUGAAUCAUCGAGUCUUUGAACGCACAUUGCGCCCCCUGGUAUUCCGGGGGGCAUGCCUGUCCGAGCGUCAUUGCUGCCCUCAAGCACGGCUUGUGUGUUGGGCCUCCGUCCUCCCCCCGGGGGACGGGCCCGAAAGGCAGCGGCGGCACCGCGUCCGGUCCUCGAGCGUAUGGGGCUUCGUCACCCGCUCUUGUAGGCCCGGCCGGCGCUUGCCGACACAUCAAUCUUUUUUCCAGGUUGACCUCGGAUCAGGUAGGGAUACCCGCUGAACUUAAGCAUAUCAAUAAGCGGAGGA